AAAAAAGUUAAUAUGUAAGAACGGUGUAUUUUUUUGCGCUGUGACUGGCUUUUUUACGUUUCACUAAAAUAGUAAUGCAGUGUGACAAAUACAUUUUUAAAAGUUGAAAUAAUCAAUCUAGUCUCGCAAUUAAUAUGAUAACUUAAAUGUGCAUAUACAAAAAUAAAAAUACAAAAAAAGUAAAAUAGUUUAAUUUAAAAAAAAUAAAAAUAAAACUACACUCUAUAAACCCUAGAGAAUAAAUCAAAUCUUCAGCAGAUAGUAAAAAUGUGUUCGAGUGUAGUCCGCGUGCUGUGAGACAGUGAGGAGUGAUGAUCACGUGACGCGGGCGUUCUGUAGGCUACUGUAGCCUCGGCUUGAUUCUUUGAAAGAGGAAACGCGCCGCACUCGCUCCUCACUGGCAUCAUCUCCCUAGAGAAUAAAUCAAAUCUUCAGCAGAUAGUAAAAAUGUGUUCGAGUGUAGUCCGCGUGCUGUGAGACAGUGAGGAGUGAUGAUCACGUGACGCGGGCGUUCUGUAGGCUACUGUAGCCUCGGCUUGAUUCUUUGAAAGAGGAAACGCGCCGCACUCGCUCCUCACUGGCAUCAUCUCUGAGGGAACAGAGCUCAGAACAUAUUUUGUUUAUUUACGCUACAAUUAGCUAACUAAAUAACCUAAGCAGCCGGUCGUUUUUCUUUAACCUCAUCAUUUUGCUAUUUUACCACUAUUACGCCCAACAACCAUUAGAAACGCCAACCUUUCUUCGAAGACUACACCUGUCCCAGCAUCAUCUGAGUGAGAUUCCGCAAAGCUACUGAUUCCUGUUGAAAUGACUGGAUUUCGUCCACAAAAUUUCACCAAACAAUGGUAUGCAAGGACACCUUAACAGUAUCAUAACCGUAAGUACUUUAUACUUUGAUGUGAACAUUUUAUAUAAAUUUUGACCCCCAUGUCAUUCCAAACCUGUAUGGAUUUCUUUCCUCUGUGGAAUACAAAAAGAGAUAUUUAGCAGAAUGUUGAGGCUGCUCUUCAUAAAUGCAAAGCUAUGACUUGCAACAGGUUGGUGUCAUGACAUGAAAAAACUAAU
rnacentral:lncRNA from 1 species